rnacentral:rRNA from 1 species
GAGUUUGAUCCUGGCUCAGAACGAACGCUGGCGGCGUGGAUAAGACAUGCAAGUCGAACGAGAGAAUUGCUAGCUUGCUAAUAAUUCUCUAGUGGCGCACGGGUGAGUAACACGUGAGUAACCUGCCCCCGAGAGCGGGAUAGCCCUGGGAAACUGGGAUUAAUACCGCAUAGUAUCGAAAGAUUAAAGCAGCAAUGCGCUUGGGGAUGGGCUCGCGGCCUAUUAGUUAGUUGGUGAGGUAACGGCUCACCAAGGCGAUGACGGGUAGCCGGUCUGAGAGGAUGUCCGGCCACACUGGAACUGAGACACGGUCCAGACACCUACGGGUGGCAGCAGUCGAGAAUCAUUCACAAUGGGGGAAACCCUGAUGGUGCGACGCCGCGUGGGGGAAUGAAGGUCUUCGGAUUGUAAACCCCUGUCAUGUGGGAGCAAAUUAAAAAGAUAGUACCACAAGAGGAAGAGACGGCUAACUCUGUGCCAGCAGCCGCGGUAAUACAGAGGU